rnacentral:lncRNA from 1 species
UCCCUGGUGUUGGUUACUCAGAAAAGAAGGGAUGGAGGUGAACAAGUAUCACUUUUAUCCUCACACAGAGAUGAGUUCUGAGUCUGGCUUUGACGUCAGGUUCUAUGGGUUCUAAUCUUGAGUUAAACUCAAACGCUGAACAAGGUACUCUAAGCCUUGAUUUUCUGGCUUUUUCCACUUCCUCGCCUUCCAUUUCUCUCUAAUCAAGCUUUAGUCUCUUUAGCUUCCAUGGCGUUCUGUGGUCAUUCUCUGCUGUUAUUUUAUUCAACCUCUUAGCAUCGAUGAACAUAGGAAAUCACAUUUUCCUUCCUGAAAUACUUUCUCCUCUUGGCUUCCCAAGACUCCCUACCUCUCUGCUAAUUCCCUACCUACUUUACUGGCCACUCCCUUUUAGUUUCCUCCACUGGCUCAUUUCUCUCUACUUAAACUUUAAAGUCUUGGAGUGACUUACGAUUCAGGCUUGACCUCUCUUUUCUUUUUCUGUUUUGAAGGAUAUCUCAUUCAGUCCCCAAACUUUAAAUACUACCUGCAAAUUAAAAUACUUAUAACUCCCAAAUGUAUACAUCCAACCCUGACCACUCUCCUGAGUGUUAGACUCAUACCCAACUUGGCAUCUUCAUCAGAUAUCUAAAGAGCAUGCCAAGCAAAACUCUGGAUGUCCCUCAACUCAGUCCCAAUCAAAAAAGAAACACACAUGCAAAAAAUCCCCACCCUUCCCCCUACUCAUCCCCAUCUCAGUCAUGACACAACCUAACUGCUUAAGCUAAAAACUAUGAAUCAUCUUUCAUUUCUCUCCCCAUCGCCCUCACCCACAUCCAUUCUAAUACAUAAUAGCUCACCCACAAAACUCCUCCUUUAUCUGUCCUGAAGAGUGAAUCAUUUUCACUUCUACCACUAGCAUUCUAAGCCACCACAAUAUUUCUUCUAGAUUAUUCAAGAUGUCUCUUUAGAAUCUUGGACCCCUACAGUCCAUUCUCUACAGUGAUCUUUUAAAAUUAUAAAUCAGCAGUUCCCAACAAAUCUGACUAGUAUCUAUGAGGAUGCAGGUCCAGUCCCUGGGCUCACUCAGUGGGUUAAGGAUCCGGAAUUGCUGUGAGCUGUGGUGUAGGCCAUAGACGCAGCUCGGAUCCCAUGUUGCUGUGGCUGUGGUGUAGGCCAGUCACUAUAGCUCCGAUUCAACCCCUAGCCUGGAACCUUACAUAUGCCACAGGUGCAGCCAUAUAGAGCACAAAAAUAAAUAAAUAAAUAAAAUGAUAAAUCAGUCCCUGCCAUUCUCUUGUUCUGACUAUCAGGAUAUAAGCCAACCCCCUUUCCAUUGCCUCCAUGGCUUUACAGGUGCUGGAAUCCAGGUAUGAUCUCAUCUCCUGAUCUAAUACUCUCACCUUUGUCCACUAUGAUCCAGCCAACAUCAGUGUUCUACCUGUUUCUCUUAAUUUAUCUACACUUCCAAGCCUAUAUAAGCACUGUUCCUUUUUUCUAGAAUGUUCUUCUCACGGAUAUUUGUAUGUCUAACUUUUCUAUCAUUUGAGUCUGAAGCUAAAAAUCACUACCUCAAAGAAGUUUUCCCUCACCAUUCUAUUUUAUGUCCAUAUUUAUUGAACUACCCUAUUUUAUUCUCCUUGUGCCACUCUUAGUAUCUGAAAUGAUCUCAUUUGUCCCCUUGUUCGUUAUCCAUGUCCUUGUCCAGACUUUAAGCUCAAUCAGACCCAUGUCCUGUUAAAAACUAGAACGCUAUCUCACACAGAGUAGACACUCAGGACAUACCGUUUGAAUAACUGAAUGAAUGAAUGGCUGGAUUUUGUUACAGUGUAGGAGUUGUCAUGAGGACUAAAUGAGAUGAUGCAUGUAAAUUGCUUAGCAUGCUGUCUACCACAUAGUAAGUACUCAAAACUACUCGAUAAUUAAGCAAAAAAAAAAAAAAUUAGCUUUUAUUUAUUUAUUUUUGUCUUUUUUUUUUAGGGCCACACACACGGCAUAUGGAGGUUCUCAGUCUAGGGGUUGAAUCAGAGCGGUAGCCACUGUCCUAGGCCACAGCCACAACAACGCCAGAUCCAAGUUGCACCUGCAAACUACACCACAGCUCACCACAACGCGAGAUCCUUAACCCACUGAGCAAGGCCAGGGAUUGAACCUGCAGCUUCAUGGUUCCUCGUCGGAUUCAUUUCUGUUGUGCCAUGACAGGAACUCCAGCUUUUACUUUUUGUUUGUUUGUUUGUUUGUUUGCCUUUUCUAGGGCCACACCCACGGCAUAAGGAGGUUCCCAGUCUAGGGGUCUAAUCAGAGCUGUAGCCGCCAGCCUACACCAGAGCCACAGCAACUCGGGAUCCGAGCCACGUCCACAACCUACACCACAGCUCACGGCAACAUCAGAUCCUUAACCCACUGAGCAAGGCUAGGGAUCAAACCCGCAACCUCAUAGUUCCUAGUCAGAUUCAUUAACCACUGAGCCACGACGGGAACUCCUCCAGCUUUUACUUUUAUAACUAGAUUUUUGGAGUCAAGUAACCAGACAGAAAACGUGGAAACUGAAAGGUAUAAGUUUCAGACUAAGUAACUUCUGGAGUGAAGCAAGAGACCAUGUUGGAAAGGGAGGGGAAAAGAAAACAGUAGGACAAGACAGGGAGUUUCCAAGGUACUGAUCCAGGAGAUUAAUUCUAGUGUAAAAAGACCUCUGAAGCAAGUUACAUGGGGACAUCUUAAGGGAGCUGGGUCACUAAAGACAAAUCUGCAACUUCUCCAUUUUCCUGACAAUCAAUUCUUCAUUUCCCAUUGCUUUUUGAACAAACACAAACUACUUUUAAUCCAAUUAUCCAACUACAGCUUCAAAAAAGAUAUUGCUUUGCUCACCAAGAGCUAUCUCUGGGGGAGAGAAAGGGAUGGGGGAGGAUGGAGACCCACAGGAAGGAGAACAUCUCUCUUUGAUGCCAUCAAACCCACUGCUUCACCCUCUGGGAGCUUGCUGUGAAAUGUUCUUUCUACUACGGCUUGCAACUAACUGGUCUGGCCAAAUGUGACUGAGCAUGCAGUGGUGGGCACACUGACAUUUUCCUACACUUUCCCCAUCACCUUUGAAAACAGCAUGGAGCAAUGUCCAAGAUGGUGGCCAUCCGUCAUGGGAGUCCCUUUCGAGCAAAAACAUGUAGGAGCUGUGAGAAGGAGAUAUAUUUUUCUUAUUAAUUACCUUGAUUCAGGCCACAGAGAGCCACAAAAAGGAGAGUUGGGGUUACUACUGUAAGAAGGAGAGCAAAGUUUAUUCAGGCAUCCAUCAUGCCUAUAUUUAUCACAGAAACAACUAACAUGCAUUUUGCAAUCAAUCUAUCAAAACUCAAGACAUACUAAAGUCCCAGUCACAACAUAACUAAAAGUGUUGAGAAUUAAAUCUCUCCCACUGAAAGCCGUCACAUAUGCAUUCUGCCCACAUAGAGAACUGCACUCAAGACUGGAUUCGACUGUGUGCAGCUUCAGCAGACUUGAUGUUAAAAUGCUGGGAGGUUCGGUUAGAUGCUGUCUGAACCUUAGGACUCUGAAAAUAUCACAGCAACACAGUGCUCCAAAAAGUCACAUUAUGUUAAUACAAUGGAUUCAAGGCAACACAGUGCUCCAAAAAGUCACAUUAUGUUAAUACAAUGGAUUCAAGGAAAUAUUGCUCCAAAGUUAAACCAUGUGGGUAAGAUAAGGAAAACAGUGUUGGGAAAAGAUUAGUCUUUUGACUCAAGAUAGAUGAGGAUUCAGAAUCUGGCUCUGCCAAGUGGCUUUGGAAAAGGUACUGAGCUAUCACAGUGCUUGGCACCUAGUAGGGAGGCCAUAAAUGUCUGCUGGUUGAAAUGACUGCUUUAAACUUCAGUGAACCUAUCUCUACAAUGGGGAUAGAAAAUCUACCCUACAGGGUUAUCCUGACCAUUAAAGGUAGUGUAGACAAACUAUGCAGCUCCUAAAUACAUACUCAGUAACAAUUACAAUUUUCCUUUACCCUCCUAGCGACUGUCUCCUUGUAAUAUAUCCUUUGACUACUAUGUCCUUUAGGAUUGGCAGACCCUGCUGUUUGGAUUCUUUCAUCUCUUCUGAAGGCUUCCUUAGGAUAGAAGAGUAGAAGAGCACAUGUGACAGAUUUGUAUCCCUACCCUUCAGGCUUUACUGGAGACUCUGCUUGAUCUCACAGGUCUGUGUUUUAAGUGUUUCCCAUUUUCAUAUGUAAACUUUAGCUAGGUGUAUAAGAGAUAAACUAUUUUUCCCCUAGAAACACAAAUUGAGUUUAUUAUUCGGAAAAUGAUUUAUCUAAUAUAUUAGUUCGAUAGAUUCAGCUAGAAAAGUGAAAACAAUUUCAAUCCAUGUUUUGUCUAGGAAGGGAAUACUUUCUUUUUUUUUUUUUUUUUUUUUUUUUUUUUUGGUCUUUUCAGGGUCACACUGGCAGCAUAUAGGAGUUCUCAGGCUAGGGAUCUAAUCAGAGCUGCAGCUGCCGGCCUGAACCACAGCCACAGCAACACCAGAUCCCAGCUGAGACUGCGACCCACACCACAGCUCACAACAACCCUGGAUCCUUAACCCACUGAGCAAAGCCAGGGAUCAAACCCGCGUCCUCAUGAAUACUAGUCAGGUUCGUUACCACUAAGCCAUGACAGGAACUCUGAGAAUAUUUCUUUAAAAUGAAAAAUAAGGCUGUUUUUAAACUUUUACUAGCGGAAGGCACGCCGAAUAUGAACUCCUGGAGACAUUAUCAUUUAAGGUAUGAAUAAGAUUAAGACACAUCAUGUUACUGUUAACAUACAACAUAGUUCUGGAAGAUCUGGUCAAUACUUUAAAAAUUAGAAAUCAAAAAAGGUGAAUUUUUAGGACGUAGAAGAUAAAACCAUCAGCAUUAGCAUGUAAUCUAAUUAUAUACCCCCAAAAAACAAAAAGAAUCAACUGAAAAACUCAUAAUUAGUAAAGUUCAGUAAAGAAGAUAUAAUACAAAAACAGGGAGCUUUGCAGUACAUCAGCUACAAUUAGUUGGUAAAUACCAUGGAAAAAAAUUCCAAUUCCCACAGAAACAAAAUGUACAAAAUGCCUAAAACUAAUCUUAUAUAAUAACAUCUGAAAGAAAUUAACUUAUUUACAGAUAGCUAGAUACACGGGAAAUUAUUGCUUUGCUUCUCAUAGUUUACAAAUUUCUCCAAAAUACCAUUUCACUUGAUGUUGCUCUUGGGUCUUUUUUUUUUUUUUUUUUACUUUUUGGGGGCACACCUGCACAUAUGGAGGUUCCCAGGCUAGGGGCAGAAUCGGAUCUGUAGCCACCAGCCUAUGCCACAGAUACAGCAACCAGAUCUGAGCCAUGUCUGCAAUCUGUCCCAUAGCUUGCAGCAAUGCUACACUCAACCCAGUGAGCAAUGCCAGGGAUUGAACCAACAUCCUCAUGGAUAUUGGUUGGGUUCUUAAGCCGCUGAACCACAAUAGGAAUUCUCUGCUGUAUGGAUUUUUUUUUUUUUUUGGCCUUUUUUUAGGGCCUCAAUCACUGCAUAUGGAAGUUCCCCAGGCUAGGGGUCAAAUGGGAGCUGCAGUCUCUGGCCUAUGCCACAGCCACAGCAAUGUUCGAUCCAAGCUGCGUCUGCGACCUACAUUGCAGCUCUUGGCAAUGCCAGAUCCCCGACCCACUGGGUGAGGCGGAGGAUCCAACGGCAUCCUCCUGGAUACUAGUCGGAUUCAUUUCCAUUGUGCCACAACAGGAACUCUCUCCGGUCUUUUUAAGGAAAAAAAUAACUCUGGGGGAAAGGGAACUUGGGAGAAUGCAGAUACCUGGAUGGAAAUUCAGACAUGAUGGUGUUCUGGUUACACCCUCUGUUGCCCUUUUGAGCCUCGGAGGCGUAGAUUCAGCGUCGAUUCAGUGAAUCUGGCCAGUCGAGAGGCUGCACCUUCUCCCUCCCAGCCCCAUUCUGGCAAAAACUGCGACAAGAAGGAGGUCAGAAAUUCGGUUCUCUCUAAUUCAGUAAAUACACACGGAAACCUACUGUGGGUCGGAAACAGCAGCCACCAAAGCGGGGCGGGUGAGGUAUCAGUCUGCAGGAACCUCACUUUUCCUUGAGUGAACUGGAAACAUCACUCGGUCACGUCACUGUCGUAAAAUAAACGUCAGCCGGUAGGUGUUGAGUCCUUGGGACCCGAGAGGAAGGCGUUUGGCCCGGACUCGGCAGAGAAAGAGGAGGCUAGCGUGGGAGGUGGAAAUAGGUUAGUUUAGAAGACUGCUGAUGGGAAGGUGCCCUCCUGCUUGGCAGGAACCAGGAGGAGGAGCGGCUUAGACUGGGGAGGGAAUACGUACAUUCGGUAGACUCCGAGGGGAAGCCAGAGUGGGCCCUGCUGGACUUAGGCUUUUGGACAAAAGCGCCCGGUAUGUCCCUCUUUUCAACCCACUGCCCUGUUUCACUGUUAGAGUCCUAACUCAUCCUCCGGUCCCCUGUCUCACCUCACUUCACACAGCACAUAUAUUGCUUCACUGCCCCCACUGUAAUUGCUACGUGACCUUACGCUGUGUCUCUUGCCUCCUGAAGAUAUUGCUGAGCCUGUCUGUUGUCUCUAGAAUAAAGCUGAAGCUGCAAGCAUAUCUGUCCAAGACGUGGCACUUGUCCUCUUUUCCAGCUUCAUGUCCAACCACUCGACCUUCCCAUUCUGUGGUCCAGUGUUUGCAUAAUAUCUUCAUUAGUCUUUACUUCUUGGCUUGCGCCAUCUUCACUAAGACUCCCUUGCCGCCCCCCCCCCCACACACACACACUCCCCUGCUGCUGCAAUUCUCAGUCCGGUUUAAGUCUCCCCCUCUUCUCUAUGCUCACCCUGUAAUCCUCAUUAUAUUUUCUAUUGCCCCCACCAGGGGUGGAAUCUUCUUAAAUAGCAGGGCUUUCCCUUUCUGUUGUGUCUAUCACCAGGCAUCCUCCAGUUCCUGCUGGGCUGCACGUCCUUCCUGAGCUCCUCUCUUCAUCUUCUCCUAGUUUUGUGCCUUGGGAGGCUAGAUGGCAGGCUCUCUUGUGUUUAGCUGCCAGUUGUGUGUGCCUAUGAGAGAUUAGAAAAUAAGAAAAUAAGGUCUAGGAGUUCCCCUUGUGGCUCAGUGGGUUAAGAACCCAACAUAGUGUCUGUGAGGAUGUGGGUUCAAUUCCUGGUCUCACUCAGUGGGUUGAGGAUCUGGCAUUGCUGUGAGCAGCAGGGUAGAUUGCAGAUGCAGCUCCCAUUCAGAGUCACCAUGGCUAUAGUGUAGGCAGCUGCAUCUCCAAUUCGACCCCUAGCCC